UCUCCGGUAGUAUAGUGGAUUAGUAUCCCCGCCUGUCACGCGGGAGACCAGGGUUCGAUUCCCUGCCGGAGAG